GGAGAGUAAAGCUAUCUGGGAUAGCGGCUUCCUGCUAAGAAGUUCGUACUGUAAAAGGUAUUUGGUUCGAUUCCAAUGCUCUCCGC
rnacentral:tRNA from 1 species